rnacentral:rRNA from 1 species
CGGGGUGCACCAGGCGCGAAAACUUUACAAUGCGGGAAACCGUGAUAAGGGGACACCGAGUGCCAGCAUCAUAUGCCGGCUGCCCAGGUGUGUAAAAUACACCUGUUAGCAAGAGCCGGGCAAGACCGGUGCCAGCCGCCGCGGUAACACCGGCGGCCCGAGUGGUGAUCGUGAUUAUUGGGUCUAAAGGGUCCGUAGCCGGUUUGGUCAGUCCUCCGGGAAAUCUGAUAGCUUAACUAUUAGGCUUUCGGAGGAUACUGCCAGACUUGGAACCGGGAGAGGUAAGAGGUACUACAGGGGUAGGAGUGAAAUCUUGUAAUCCCUGUGGGACCACCUGUGGCGAAGGCGUCUUACCAGAACGGGUUCGACGGUGAGGGACGAAAGCUGGGGGCACGAACCGGAUUAGAUACCCGGGUAGUCCCAGCCGUAAACGAUGCUCGCUAGGUGUCAGGCAUGGCGCGACCGUGUCUGGUGCCGCAGGGAAGCCGUGAAGCGAGCCACCUGGGAAGUACGGCCGCAAGGCUGAAACUUAAAGGAAUUGCGGGGGA